rnacentral:rRNA from 1 species
CUACGGGUGGCUGCAGUGGGGAAUAUUGGACAAUGGGCGAAAGCCUGAUCCAGCCAUGCCACGUGUGUGAAGAAGGCCUUCGGGUUGUAAAGCACUUUCAGUGGGGAAGAAAGCCUUGGGGCUAAUACCCUCGAGGAAGGACAUCACCCACAGAAGAAGCACCGGCUAACUCCGUGCCAGCAGCCGCGGUAAUACGGAGGGUGCGAGCGUUAAUCGGAAUUACUGGGCGUAAAGCGCGCGUAGGCGGUCUGAUAAGCCGGUUGUGAAAGCCCCGGGCUCAACCUGGGAACGGCAUCCGGAACUGUCAGGCUAGAGUGCAGGAGAGGAAGGUAGAAUUCCCGGUGUAGCGGUGAAAUGCGUAGAGAUCGGGAGGAAUACCAGUGGCGAAGGCGGCCUUCUGGACUGACACUGACGCUGAGGUGCGAAAGCGUGGGUAGCAAACAGGAUUAGAUACCCUAGUAGUC